rnacentral:rRNA from 1 species
GGAGUUUGGGCCGUGUCUCAGUCCCAAUGUGGCCGUUCACCCUCUCAGGCCGGCUACUGAUCGUCGCCUUGGUGAGCUAUUACCUCACCAACCAGCUAAUCAGACGCGGGUCCAUCAUAUACCACCUCAGUUUUUCACACUGUACCAUGCGGUACUGUGCGCUUAUGCGGUAUUAGCACCUAUUUCUAAGUGUUAUCCCCCUGUAUAUGGCAGGUUACCCACGCGUUACUCACCCGUCCGCCACUAAGUAUCAACAAGAUUUGCUUCGUAGCAAGCUACUCUGCUCGUCAGCGUCAAUACUCCGUUCGACUUGCAUGUGUUAAGCACGCCGCCAGCGUUCAUC